AACAAUUACAAGAAGCUGCCGGUGUAUUUCUGUGGUUUAGCAAAAGGGCCAAGUCGGAAGGAAAAGACAUUCCCAGCAUUUUCUAAAGCUAGAUAAAUACAGAAACGAAAUAUAGAUGAAAGAUGGAACUGCUCUCUAUAGCAUCUGCCAGAUUCCUCGACUUUUUGGCACACUGAUUGAAUUUGGCAAAGGUACCCAGUAGCAAUCUUUUCCAUUAAAAGGAGCAGCAUAUACUUUAUUUUACCAUACUGUUUGUGUAUUUUUGACCCUCCAAAACUCUCUUUUUUAGAAGGCAAUUAUUUCUACAGAGUUGGCUGCAAUUAUUUGAAACGGAUCUUUUAUCAACAAAAAAAGCUGCGGGACAUAGCUACUGUUGAACAGAUCCAAGGACCUACAGGUCGUCAGGAAAGCGUCUUUCUUUGAAACCAAAAGAUGCUUCAACAUGUGCCAGCAUCAUCUUAUGCCAAUCUAACGCUUUUGAUAUCCAAACCUAUUUAAAUUUGGAGGAAUCCUGGACUGUUCAAUUUAGGCAAGAUAAGCUACCCAGCUCUGUCGUUUUCUUCUAUUUGUGAUCAGAAAAACUGUAACGUAGUCCAACAUUCCUAAUUUUGGUAACAUGAUGAUGUUAAGAAAAGGAAUAACUCUCCCGUCCAAAAUCAAAUUUUUGUGGAAUCCAAUACUUCUUAACCCUGAAUUUUUUUCUGAGCUGGCAGUGAUUCUAUAGUAAACUUCUGAAGAUAUAUAAGUAACAAUCUCUAAAAAUAUGACACGCGGCAGCAAGUAUGAAGGCAAUGGCUUCUGGCUUCACUCAACUCAGGAAAGAGAGGCUCACACCUGAUAAGCUUUUUACGUAACUCAGAGGGAAAUGACUUUUUGUUUUCAGAUUUUAUUAGUUUCUUCUAAACCAAACAAAAGCAAAAGAUGAGGGGUGUUCACCUGUUGCUAUGAAGUUUUUGAGUGCAACAUUAUGGUCAGAUAUUUGGUUUUUAAACAGCCCCAAAUUGAGGCCUACCGUAUAGCUGACAGUGACUUGGAAAUAUUAUUGUUACUAAUGUUAUUUGCCAUCUAGUGCACUUUCUUAAUCAUUAAGUAGCAGCUAAUUUAAAGCAGUGGAAGAGUAUUAGCUUCAUGUGAGCGCCAGAAAAACGCUGUGGUUUAAACAUAAAGUUGGGAGCCAACAGCGACAGAUAUAACAUAUAAAGAUGUAUAAUUUGCCAAGUUUAAAAUCCCCAAACCAACAUGGGAAUGCUUCACAGGUUUAUAUGUGCAUAAAGUGAAGACUGUUUUGCACAGAUUUAAAAUGGUGAAGGAGCGUAUCUUUUCUUAAACUCAGGUUGACAGUAUAAUAGUACACCUCCUAUAAUCACAAAGUAUUUGACAAAAAAGAGUCAACUGUUAUUCUGUUUAAAUUUCAGGAUGCUAAAUCCAUACCAGCAGUUGGCAGUAGCUGAGUCUGGAAUAUUUUCAAAAAUAUUAUAAAUAAUUACCUUUCACAUUAAUAAUUUACAUCGAUUUAACUCACAAAGCUUGCCUUAUGAAAGAGUUCUUUAAUAAAAAUAAAACAAUAAUAAUAAAUAAAACCAGCCAAAGCUGUCAGCAAGAAUUUGUCAUUUUCACAACUGAGGUAAAAUAUUCUACAAGUUAAAUAUUGGGUAAAAUGCCCUCUGUACAUUUUUUUCUAUUUUUAUUGAUCUAUUUGUACAUAUUUACGUACAUCUUUAAAACAACUGCAAUAACAACCUCAUAAUAAAAGCAUAUAUUUGACUCUAAAACAGCCUAAAUAACAGUGUGACAAAAGAUAGUGAAUAUCAACUGACCUAAGAAUUUCUCAUGUCAGUUGGUUCAGAAAUUUAAAUUCUGAGUUGUCACUUUCGUGCACAUCUUUUGGAGUGCCUUCCCAGCACAUCAUGAACGCCCUUGACUGCCUUUGUGUUCCACCUCCAAUGGCAAGUCUUGGAAGCCAUCUUGUAAAGUAUCACAUGCUUCAUUGUCCACCACUGAUUGGACAAGGGGGUGGGUACUUUUCUUAAACUGGGCCAAUCAGCUUCCCUUGUCUGAGAUUUUUGAACUGAAAAUGGGGGUGGAGAAAAUAUGUGGCCUCCUUGGGUGGCUGGAUACCUAGAUCCAGGAGAAGCAGUAAAGAAAACAGUGGCAAAAGAGAGGAAGCCAACUGGCAUAGAAAGAAUAAAAGGAAACAAAUAAGAAAAGUGGAGAGAUGGCAGUUGGAAAAAAGAUGCUAAAGGCUUUGGAGCUCAGCGCCUUCUUAGGGCUCUGCUGCUUUCUUGCCCAUGGGAAUUCUCUUUGGUGCAUAAGUUUGAGUUAUGAAGUAAUUUAUUGAUUUAUAGCAGAUCCUGCAUUGCAUCUGUAGGACUUUGGAUGCAUCAGACUGUCGAGCUAAAGCUUCCCAGUCUUUAAAAUGGGAGAGUAAUGCCUGCACCACAGGGGUACAGUGAAGAUUAAAUGAAAUAAGGAAUAAAGCACAUAGGCCACGGGUGAAUGCUCAGUAAUUGAUUGUUAUUCUUUUUAAAAUAGAUCAACCUGAAAUACACAUUUUGUAACAUAUAUAUGAGCUAUUUAUAUUGACUAUUUGCUAGUGUAAUUAUUAAGCCUAAUAUUCUAAUAUUGGAUAAUUAUUCACUUAAUGGGUACUCCAAGUUAUCUAAUGAAAUUUAAAAUAAAAAUGGGCUUGCUAGCAA
rnacentral:lncRNA from 1 species